rnacentral:rRNA from 1 species
UUCCAUGUGAACAGCACAUGAACACGGGUCACUCUGCCCUAAGGAAUAGGGGAAAACCCUUCUGAGCCGGGGAGAGGAGUUAUAUAAAUAUAAGAAACCCCCCCCGCAUAGACCGAAAGGGAAUCGGGUUAAUAUUCCCGAACCCGGACGUGGAGAUCGACCCCUCGUGGGUCCAAUGCGGCAACGCAAACGAACUCGGAGACGUCGGCAGGAGUCCCGGGAAGAGUUGUCUUUUCUUUGUAAGGAACGGACUCCCUGGAAUCGGCUCGCCCGGAGAGAGGGACGUUGUUUCCGUAAAGCACCGCGGCUCUUGCGGUGUCCGGAGUGUUCCUGCCGGCCCUUGAAAAUCCGAGGGAGAGAUUAUUGAUUUUCGCGCCGGACCGUACCCAUAUCCGCAGCAGGUCUCCAAGG